rnacentral:rRNA from 1 species
GACGAACGCUGGCGGCGUGCUUAACACAUGCAAGUCGAACGCAGUGGCGAACGGGUGAGUAACGCGUAAUCAACCUGCCCUUCAGGGGGGGACAACAGUAGGAAACGACUGCUAAUACCGCAUACUGAUGGAGGUGAUUGCGUCGGAUUAGCUAGUUGGAGGGGAAACGGCCCACCAAGGCGAUGAUCAGUAGCCGGUCUUGGAGGAUGAACGGCCACAUUGGGACUGAGACACGGCCCAGAACCCUACGGGGGGCAGCAGUGGGGAAUCUUCCGACAUGGACGAAAGUCUGAAGGAGCACCGCCGCGGGAGGGAUGACGGCCUUCGGGUUGUAAAGGUCUGUUAAUCGGGACGCGGUACCGGAAUAGAAAGCCACGGCUAACUACGUGCCAGCAGCCGCGGUAAUAC